ensembl:lncRNA
GUGCUGUUCCUCCUGCCCCCAAGAAGGGGCGGCAAACGCUGCACAGUGAAAUGAAAUCCAAAGCCCCCACCCCCGGCCCCUGGGAUAAACCACUAAGGGCCUUGCUGGGCAAACACAAUUAGCAUUGAGCAAAGUACACAGACGUCUUCCACCGCUAUCAGUAUUGUUGAUCUCUGAAGACACGAGCUUGUUUCUGAAGACAGCAUCUUCAGCUGGUCAGUGGGAUUGCCUUCUGACAGUGUCGCCAGACUUGCAGUUCAGAGGUGGUGACAGAAAUGACUCUCGGUGGCCCCAUCUCUCAGAUGCAGGAGGAUUCUUCGAGAAGGUGCUGGUGCCUUCAGUCUUCAAGGAGCUGGCCUCAGAGUUGCAGCAAGCAGGCUCCUUUAAGACAGAUCUGUGCUCCUGUACCACUUCUUCUUCUUUUUCAUUUAAAGACUUUUUGGUAUGGACCACGUUUAAAGUCUUCUUUUCUCUGGUUUUUGGCCGUGAGGCAUGUGGGAUCUGAGCUCCCCGACCAGGGAUCAGCCCUGCACCCUCUGCACUGGAAGGAGAAACCUUCACCACUGGACCUCCAGGCAAGUCCUCCCUAAGGUACUUCGAUCUCAACUUCAAGUCCUAGCUCAAAUUUCACCUCUCUCGUGAUACCUUUUUUUCCAUCUUUCAUAGAUUCAAAUCCUUCACUCACCUGUGCAUCUCUACUACCGUAUUCAGAUCUCAAAUACAGUCUCAUAUAAUAAUAGAUACUCUUAAUAUAAUCAUAUAAUAUGCUAUUUACUCUCAUUUAUAGUAAUUAUUUACCUUUCUGUGUAAUAAUGAUUGUGAGGUCUUCAAAUAUUUGUGUUCCCAGCACUGUGCCUGAAACAUAGCAGCUGCAUAAUAUACUAACAAACUUCAGGUGGGAGGAGGGACUUUGGCUAGCUUUUUCAACUUGGUUAUUAAUUUAAAAAAUUUAUAUUUGCUUCCAGUUUUAUUGAGAUAUGAUUGACAUAAAACUACAAGUUUAAGGUAUAUAGCAUAAUGAUUUGAUUUGGAUACAUCAUGAAAUGAUGACCACUGUAAGUUUAGUCAACACCAUCAUAUCACAAUUUAUAUGAGAUUUAACAAAAUCUGCAUGCAUCUAACAAAAUUAAGGAAACAGAAAAGAUUUUUUUCUUUGUGAUGAGACCUCAGGAUUUACUCUCGUGAUAGCUUUCUUGUGUAACGUACAAUCGUGUUACUAUAUUUAUCAUGUUGUACCUUACAUUUCUACUACUUAUGUGUUUUAUACCUGGAAGUUUGCACAUUUCAACUGCGUUUACCCAAUUCUACCCCCUUGGAUAACCACAAAUUUUAUCUCUUUCGCUAUGAGUGAGUUUGUUUGAUUUUAAAGUAUAAUUGAACCACAACACUCUGUUAGUUCUUGCUACAUGACAUAGUGAUUCAAUAUUUCUGCACAUUACAAAAUGUUCACCAUGAUAAUCUAGUUACCAUCUGUCACCACAGGAAGAUAUUACAUAAUUAUUGAUUAUAUUCCCCCACACCGUUCAUCUCACACCCUGACUCAUUCAUUUCGCAACUGGAGGUGUGCAUCUCUUCACACCUCAGCUAUUUCUCAGCUAUUUCAGCUAUUUCCCCCUUUCUCUCAGCUAUUUCUCUACUUCCCCCACUGCCUCCCCUCUGGGAACCAUCUUUUCUCUGUGUCUGUGACUCUGCUGCUAUCUUGUUAUGAGAACACAGGGCAGCUACAUGCAAGAGAAUCAGACUGGACUACGUCGUGCACAAAGAUACAUUCAAAACGGAUUAAAGACUUUAAACUUGAGACCUGAACCCAUAAAACUUCUGGAAGAAAACAUAAGCAGGAAGCUCUCCCUGGGACAGAGAUUGGAAGUGUGAGAGAUUCGGGACCAGGAAGACUCUAAGCCACCAGCUUUGAAGACAGAUGGGGCCACACGGCAAGGAUCUGGGGGUGGCCCAUGGGAGCUGAGAUCAGAGUCAGCAUUCGCCCCCGUCCACAGAGACCUGCCUCUCCGUCCGUCCGGGCAGGCGUGGAAGCGGGUUCUUCCCAGAACGUCUCAAAAGGCAUGUAGCACGGCUGACCAAGAUUUUGCUGCUUGAAUCCCUGAGCAAAGAACCCAGCACACCAUGCCUGCAUAUCUGAAAGCUUGUUUUUCUGAUGGGCUUGUUUUGGUCACUAACAUGUUUCAUUCAUUACUCAGCAAUAGCGAACUGAUACAAAUAAUAAGGAACUGAAUUUUACAGUGGCCUGAAUGGGGUUUGAAGAAGCAGGUCAAUCCUAGCCGGUACCUUGAUUCAGCCUGGGAGAUUUGAGCAGGGAACUCAGUUACUCUGUGUCCAGACUUGACCUGCAGAGAGUCUGAAAUGAUAAACUGUGAGAUGCUUUAAGUUACUAAGAUUGGGGAGCUGCUAUGACUCCGAUGGCUAACAUCCCCCAGCCCCAUUCUCCCAGCUCACAUCAGAGGUAGAAGGCUGAAAACACUGAUCUCUGUCAAAACAAAGUCGGGGUUAGAUGUUGGGUGUGAGAAGGCACUCUUUUACUGGAAUAAUUUUAUCUUCUAAAUUCAUAAGUAUAAUAAAAGUUAAUAAAUGGAAAAUCA